AGUGAACGCUGGCGGUAGGCCUAACACAUGCAAGUCGAACGGCAGCACAGUAAGCGCUUGCUCUUACGGGUGGCGAGUGGCGGACGGGUGAGGCAUACAUCGGAAUCUACUUUUUCGUGGGGGAUAACGUAGGGACACUUACGCUACUACCGCAUACGACCUACGGGUGAAAGCAGGGGAUCUUCGGACCUUGCGCGAUUGAAUGAGCCGAUGUCGGAUUAGCUAGUUGGCGAGGUAAAGGCCCACCAAGGCGACGAUCCGUAGCUGGUCUGAGAGGAUGAUCAGCCACACUGGAACUGAGACACGGUCCAGACUCCUACGGGAGGCAGCAGUGGGGAAUAUUGGACAAUGGGCGCAAGCCUGAUCCAGCCAUACCGCGUGAGUGAAGAAGGCCUUCGGGUUGUAAAGCCCUUUUGUUGGGAAAGAAAAGCAGCAGGUUAAUACCCCGCUGUUCUGACGGUACCCAAAGAAUAAGCACCGGCUAACUUCGUG
rnacentral:rRNA from 1 species